AGACUGGUCAGGCUCGGGAAGCAGCUCAGGAGAACUCGACUUCUACUGCCUCAAAGUCCCGGGCAAGCGGAGGAAGAACCGGAGCGCUCCAGGGAAGCCCCGUCGGACGAGCAGCCGUCAGCUUCCUCCUUGUCUAGAAAAGCAGCAGCAGCCUGGCGCCGACCGACCUCCAGGCAGCAGAUCCACUCCGAGGGACGCCCGGAUAGCGGCGGCUCCUCUUCGGAGGGCAACAAGGACAACAAGAUGCCCUUCUGGAAGCGCACGGUGGAACCUCGCCGGCUGCUCCCCUCCGCUGCCGUCGCCCCUCGCUUGGCUGCUCUGCCGCUGGCCCAGCUCCACGACGUGUGCGGCCUGGCGACGCUGGCGCUGCUCCGGCAGCUGGCCGAUCUCUGCGGACACUCGGCGGCGUUGCUCGCGGACCUAGAGGGUCGCUUGCUGGAGCUGGCCCGCCGCGCCCACCGGCUUCGAAGCCGCCUCUGCAGAGUUCACGGGCUAAUCCGCCCCGGGGCGUCUCGAGAGGCAGGUAAGAAAGAAAAGUCAUCGCCCGCGCCGUCGAGGCAGGGCCACCGCGCUCUUUGGGAAUAGCACGUGGGCCGCUCCUAGAAGGGCGCGCGGAUUGUUUCCAAGGCGGAGAAGGCGGGAGGGAUUUGCUGUAAGGCAGCUACUUACCCCCCCCCCCCCCCCCCCCACUAAAAGAGGAAAGGCGUCACCCAAAUGCAAUGCAGGUUAAGCUAGCGGUGAAGACUGCGAGCAGGUGACCUGCUUGUGCCUGGCCGGUGUGCUCUCUGGGUGGCAGUCACUGUGACGGGCAACUUCAAUACUUCUCUCCCUCCCUAAGUUCUCUUAUCAUAAAACCAGACUUGAGUCGGACCGUGGGCUCAUCCACACUUUCCUUGUGCCCUGCGUAGAAAGCAGGGGUCGGACAGGAGCUCAGUGUUUCAACCAGAGGACUCCUUGAAAUAGAGGACUUGUCCUUUCACAGCCAUUUGAAUGGAGGACUCUACUCUGUAGAGUAGAGCAGGUGGCCAGUCUGUGCAAGUAUCUCUCUGCAGACCCAGAGGGUGGGGGUGGGGGGGCAAGGAAGGGGUUAACUCUCAAAAGAGUCAGAUGUCAAGUCUCAAUCCUUUCUGAAAUCCUCCAUUUAUGUCCUGUGAUGAAAAAAGAAUAGGCCCUUUGCCCAUGCUCAGAGGCAUUUUUAAAGAAAAGAAUUGUCUCUUUUCCCAGCUUUUUCUUCCUAGUUUGGAAAUGCAAAGGCUUCCGAUGGGCUUUCUAACAUGACAGUGGUGGUGGUUUUGCUGACCCUGCUUGCUGCAACUUCGCAGCCACGCUCCACCUUCAUUGUCAAAGGCAGUAGUGCUUCUGUUUACCUGCUUGCGGACAGACUUCUGGUUGUCCAUUGUGAUAAUGGAAAGCUGGACUAGACAGGCAUUUGGGCUGGUUCAGCAGAGCUCUUCUUAUAUUUUUAAAGAUAGGUCACAUAGCCGGAAGAAGAUGAUACACACAAAAUUUAAAAUGGUUCGAAACAAGAUGCACCUGCGGGGGGGGGGGGGGAGCUGGCGAAGCAGCGAUUCUGACACAUUUGGCACGUUGGAAACACAUGGCUUUCCCCCAAAGAAUAAUGAGAACUAUAGUUUACCCUUUCAUGGAGCUACAAGUUUGCAGAACCCCUGACAAAGUACAGCGCCCAGGAUUCUUUGGGGGAAGUUAUGUGCCUUCUUGGCUGAUAGCAAUAGCUGCUAAUCCACAGGCAUUUCUGUAGAGAGGCAGGAUCCAAAGGCCCCCAGGGCAGCAGAAUAAUGAUGUGUGAAUAGAACAAUAGUUUCUAAGUCACGGGGAAGUAAUAGCCCACUUUAUCUGGUAUUUAGGCCUCAAUAGCCAACUUUAUCUGGUAUUUAGGCUUCACCCAGUUCUGGGUGCCAAACUUUAAGAUGCUGAAAACAAAUUGGAACAGGUUCGGAGUAGGCCAGUGAAGAUGAUCAGGUGUAGGGAAUAUAAGAACGAAAGAAGAGCCCAGCUGGAUCAGGCCUAAGGCACAUCUGGUCCAUCAUCCUGUUCUCACUGUGGUCCAGCACAUGCCUUCAAGAAGCCCACAGGCAGGAAAAUGUCUCCUGUGGGGAAGGGAGCUGAAGGAACUGGCUGCAACUGCAACUGUUUAGACUGGAGAAGGGAAAACUUGGAGUGUUUACAUAUUGGACUUUUACUCUGGCUCCAAUGCACUCCCGCUGUUAGCAUCUGAAUCCACAUGCAUGUUACACAAGGGACGCGGGUGGCGCUGUGGUCUAAACCACUGAGCCUAGGGCUUGCCGAUCAGAAGGUUGGCGGUUCGAAUCCCCGUGACGGGGUGAGCUUCCGUUGCUCAGUACCAGCUCCUGCCCACCUAGCAGUUCAAAAGCAUGUCAAAGUGCAAGUAGAUAAACAGGUACUGCUCCGGCAGGAAGGUAAACGGUGUUUCUGUGCGCUGCUCUGGUUUCUCCAGGAGCAGCUUAGUCAUGCUGGCUACAUGACCUGGAAGCUGUCUGCGGACAAACGCCGGCUCCCUUGGCCUAUAGAGCGAGAUGAGUGCCACAACCUCAGAGUCAUUCGCGACUGGACCCAACGGUCAGGGGUACAUUUACCUUUACCUUUACAUGUUACACAGGGCUGAUGUGUCCCGUUUCACCACUUGCGGCAAAAUGGGAAGAUCUUGCACAAUUUCAGGUGACAUCUUGCCCAAAACGGACAUGCUCUUGCCCCCCAAAUCAGCACUGUGGUGGCAACAGGCUUCUCCCACGGGUGUUCGGGGGGGGGGGGGCUUAUGCUGGCUGAAGCAGUAGCUUCACCCUGCCUAAUGGCUUUGCCAGCUCUGAUGUUCUCAUGAUAUUAAUCAUAAAAUAUUAAAUUUAUAACCCACCCUUCCUCUGAAAGGAGCCCAGAGUGGCCAGUAAUAUGUAAAACAUCUUAAACUUAAAACAAUUCCAGCACAGAUGCAGACAGGGAAAGAUCUCAGCUUCAAAGGCGCAGAUUAAAGCUACCCUGUAGUUUCUGGAGAAAUAUUGUCGCGUGAUACUUUUUCUUCUCAAACCAGCAUCUUACCUGAAAGGAUACCUUAAGCCAUGUUUCCUUCACAGCCAUUGCACUUGCGUGGGUGGCAGCAUAUGCUCAGGUGAAGGCUUCGUGAUAGGAGUUCGGGGGAGGGGGGUUGCAAGGGGAGAGGUUAUGGGCAUCAGGUGACCACCUGCCUUUUCUCUGGUGUGUACAGCAGGGUGCCAAAUGAGAUCUAAAAUGCAGUAGGGAGAAAUGACCUUGCUGUGUUUUAAACCACUAAUGUGUUCAUAGCCUUGUAUUCUCAUUCCCCAGAGGACAAAACAACAUCUAAUGAGCUUAAGCUAUGGAAAGGUAGAUUCUGGUUGAACGUUAGGAAAUAUAUCAAGAGGAAUUUGACAGUGGAACCAAUUGCCUAAAGGUGUCCCUUGCUGAAGGUCUCCAGCCAGAAGCUAGAGAGCCGUCUGCUGGGGAAACUCUAGCAGAGGUUGGCAAGAUGAUCUAUAAAACCCCUCCAACCGAUUGUGUAAUUUACAGUUUGUUGUCUAUUCCCCUCCCACUUCCCCUCAAUCUGUUGUUGGUUUCUGGUAUGUUUUCCACUAGGUUUUCUGACCAGAGGGGUUUGAAAAAGUAUCAUGGAGCCUAUGUUUCAACAAAGGUGUGUUUUUUUUAAAGGACCCUUUAAAAAGUAUGCCUUCUUGGAGAACAGUUCCAGUGUAACUGCAGGGUGUUUUCAACUGUUCUGACAGUGCCCAGCAAGCUCUCCUGCUUCUCCAUCUGCUCUGGGCUGCCAUGUUGUCAAGAGUGAGCCAAAAGCAUCUUUUAGGGAUGAGCUUUUAUUCUGUAGACCAAAAAGCAUUUUCUUGUGACUUAGCAUUAUUCCAGUAUUGAACAAACCACGCCAAGUGUACAGUGGUACCUUGGUUCUCAAACUUAAUCCGUUCCGGAAGUCCGUUCCAAAACCAAAGCGUUCCAAAACCAAGCUGUACUUUCCCAUAGAAAGUAAUGCAAAAUGAAUUAAUCCGUUCUGGACUUUUAAAAACAACCCCUAAAACAGCAAUUUAACAUGAAUUUUACUAUCUAACGAGACCACUGAUCCAUAAAAUGAAAGCAAUAAACAAUGUACUGCAGUCACACAAUCAAUAUACAGUGGUACCUCGGGUUAAGUACUUAAUUCGUUCUGGAGGUCCGUUCUUAACCUGAAACUGUUCUUAACCUGAAGCACCACUUUAGCCAAUGGGGUCUCCUGCUGCUGCCACACCGCCGGAGCACGAUUUCUGUUCUCAUCCUGAAGCAAAGUUCUUAACCCAAGGUACUAUUUCUGGGUUAGUGGAGUCUGUAACCUGAAGCGUAUGUAACCUGAAGCGUAUGUAACCCGAGGUACCACUGUAUUCAGUAGCUGAACUGGGUUCCACCCAGUCAC